rnacentral:rRNA from 1 species
GGGCUUGACAUCCCACGAACCUGCCUGAAAGGGCGGGGUGCCCGCAAGGGAGCGUGGAGACAGGUGGUGCAUGGCUGUCGUCAGCUCGUGUCGUGAGAUGUUGGGUUAAGUCCCGCAACGAGCGCAACCCUCACCCCUAGUUGCCACCGGGUAAUGCCGAGCACUCGAGGGGAACUGCCAGCGUCAAGCUGGAGGAAGGCGGGGAUGACGUCAAGUCAUCAUGCCCCUUACGUCCUGGGCUACACACGUGCUACAAUGGCCAGUACAAAGGGAUGCGAGACCGCGAGGUGGAGCUAAUCCCAAAAAGCUGGCCUAAGUUCAGAUUGCAGUCUGCAACUCGACUGCAUGAAGGAGGAAUCGCUAGUAAUCGCGCAUCAGCCCGGCGCGGUGAAUACGUUCCCGGGCCUUGUACACACCGCCCGUCACACCACGAAAGCUUACUGUACUCGAAGUCGCUGAG